rnacentral:rRNA from 1 species
AUUGAACGCUGGCGGCAUGCCUUACACAUGCAAGUCGAACGGCAGCACGGGUGCUUGCACCUGGUGGCGAGUGGCGAACGGGUGAGUAAUUCAUCGGAACGUACCUUAUCGUGGGGGAUAACGCAGCGAAAGCUGUGCUAAUACCGCAUACGCCCUGAGGGGGAAAGCGGGGGAUCGAAAGACCUCGCGCGAUUAGAGCGGCCGAUGCCUGAUUAGCUUGUUGGUGGGGUAAAAGCCCACCAAGGCGACGAUAAGUAGCUGGUCUGAGAGGACGAUCAGCCACACUGGGACUGAGACACGGCCCAGACUCCUACGGGAGGCAGCAGUGGGGAAUUUUGGACAAUGGGGGCAACCCUGAUCCAGCAAUGCCGCGUGAGUGAAGAAGGCCUUCGGGUUGUAAAGCUCUUUUGUCAGGGAAGAAACACCGGCUCUAACACAGUCCGGGAAUGACGGUACCUGAAGAAUAAGCACCGGCUAACUACGUGCCAGCCGCCGCAGUAA